UACGUAGGGUGCAAGCGUUUGUCCGGAAUUAUUGGGCGUAAAGAGCGUGUAGGCGGCCCGGUAAGUCCGCUGUGAAAGUCCAGGGCUCAACCCUGGGAUGCCGGUGGAUACUGUCGGGCUCGAGUCCGGAAGAGGAGUGUGGAAUUCCUGGUGUAGCGGUGAAAUGCGCAGAUAUCAGGAGGAACACCAAUGGCGAAGGCAGCACUCUGGGGACGUGACUGACGCUGAGACGCGAAAGCGUGGGGAGCAAACAGG
rnacentral:rRNA from 1 species